rnacentral:rRNA from 1 species
UACGUAGGGUGCGAGCGUUAAUCGGAAUUACUGGGCGUAAAGCGUGCGCAGGCGGUUCGUCGUGUCCGAUGUGAAAGCCCCGGGCUCAACCUGGGAAUGGCAUUGGAAACUGGCGGGCUUGAGUGUGGCAGAGGGGGAUGGAAUUCCGCGUGUAGCAGUGAAAUGCGUAGAGAUGCGGAGGAACACCGAUGGCGAAGGCAGCCCCCUGGGCUAACACUGACGCUCAGGCACGAAAGCGUGGGGAGCAAACAGG